CCCUACUGCUAUCGGGGCGGGACUAAGACAUGCAAGUCGUGCGUCUCUAAGCCAUGGUAGAGACGCGGCGUACGGCUCAGUAACACGUGGCUAACCUACCCUUAGGACGGAGACAACCCCGGGAAACUGGGGCUAAUACCCGAUAGGUGAGGAGGCCUGGAAUGGUUCUUCGCUGAAAAGGCGUUGAAACCAUGCUUUUCAACGUCGCCUAAGGAUGGGGCCGCGCCCGAUCAGGUUGUUGGUGGGGUAACGGCUCACCAAGCCUAUAACCGGUACGGGCCGUGAGAGCGGGAGCCCGGAGAUGGGCACUGAGAUAAGGGCCCAGGCCCUACGGGGCGCAGCAGUCGCGAAAACUCCGCAAUGCGCGAAAGCGUGACGGGGCUACCCCGAGUGCCGUCCGCUGAGGAUGGCUUUUCCCCGGUGUAAUGAGCCGGGGGAAUAAGGAGAGGGCAAGACUGGUGUCAGCCGCCGCGGUAAUACCAGCUCUCCGAGUAGUAGGGACGAUUAUUGGGCUUAAAGCGUCCGUAGCCGGCUUAGCAAGUCUCCUGUUAAAUUCAGCGACCUAAUCGUUGGGCCGCGGGAGAUACUACUAGGCUAGGAGGCGGGAGAGGCCGACGGUAUUCUCGGGGUAGGGGUGAAAUCCUAUAAUCCCGGGAGGACCACCAGUGGCGAAGGCUGUCGGCUAGAACGCGCUCGACGGUGAGGGACGAAAGCUGGGGGAGCAAACCGGAUUAGAUACCCGGGUAGUCCCAGCUGUAAACGAUGCGGGCUAGGUGUUGGGGUGGCUACGAGCCACUUCAGUGCCGCAGGGAAGCCGUUAAGCCCGCCGCCUGGGGAGUACGGCCGCAAGGCUGAAACUUAAAGGAAUUGGCGGGGGAGCACCACAAGGCGUGAAGCUUGCGGUUC
rnacentral:rRNA from 1 species